rnacentral:rRNA from 1 species
UACGUAGGGUGCAAGCGUUGUCCGGAAUUAUUGGGCGUAAAGAGCUCGUAGGCGGUUUGUCGCGUCGGGCGUGAAAACCCAGGGCUUAACCCUGGGCUUGCUUCCGAUACGGGCAGACUAGAGGUAUGCAGGGGAGAAUGGAAUUCCUGGUGUAGCGGUGAAAUGCGCAGAUAUCAGGAGGAACACCGGUGGCGAAGGCGGUUCUCUGGGCAGUACCUGACGCUGAGGAGCGAAAGUGUGGGGAGCGAACAGG